UAAUACCUGGUAAUCUGUUUAAGAUCAUUGACAGGCCUGAGAGUUUUCCAUAUGGCCUGCAUCCUAACCUCUGGGAAGAAAAUAUCCACAACAUAAUUUCUACAAGAUUAGAGGAAGGAGAGAGACAAUGGGGAUUCCAAUUUUACUAGGAAUAUCCACCUCUGAGAGGAAAAUAUCCAUCUCUGUGGAUGUCAUCUGGUCUGCAGAAAACCCUUUCCUGGAACUCCCAGAGACGAGGCAUCCCUGACUGAGAAGACACCUGUGAUCUGGCACCUGAAGCGAGAAGGUCCACUCCAUCUUUCUUCACAGGAAACGUUGCUCCAGCUUUCAGUGUCCCACCCUCUCCUUCUGCUACUUUGAGGUUAUGGGAAGACUGCACUCACUUCCUGAUAUGCCCUAUUUUACCUCGAGUCAGUGGAUUCUGUUGAGCACUGAGAUUUCCCAAACCCAGUGUCUGUGCAAACUUUUAAGUUCACAGCCCCCGCUUGGAGAAGCAGGAUCUCAAUAGCUUCUCCAGAGGAGAGACUUCAAUACAGCUGCUGUCUGGUGCCAAUGGAAGAAAUCAUUACUGACAUGGAGUCAUCUGAGGAAUGGAAAUUGCUGUUUCUGAGGGUCCGGAAGAGGAGCAGAGGUAUGGAAAUCAGAAAUCUCUGACUGAAGGACCAAGGUGCAGAUCUGAUGGCAUCAUAUCUCUGUUGCAUUCUGAUUCGGGCCGUUCAAAAAGACCCACUCUGUUCCCAGAACAAUCACUUGAAUGUUGCACCUGUCCACAGCUUCCUGUUUCUCAUGGAUUCCUGAGUGAAGCCCUGUAAUGGAGUCCAGGGCAAGGGCUAUCAUUAUCCAUUUCUUCUCUCUCUGAGUCUACAAAUCCCUAAUUUUCAAGGCUGUGCCCUUCCUGACAGGUGUUGAAUGAACCCUUUGACUCACCAUUGGGAACAUCUGUGGAGGGCAGAAUGGGCAGAAGCCAACUCACCUUCAUGAGUGCUCCCACUUCCCCAUCCUCCUCCUUCCAUUUCCCCUUCCCAGGUGACCAGCAGCUCCCCAUCUCCAGGACAUGGAAGUUUUGGGAAAGAUGACCACCUCUCCUCCAGGCAGCAUUACAAUCUGUCCAUAUUGCUGUCUGAACAAUUUGUCUCAUCCACAUUUGACUCAAACCCUGGAUCCACCUCUAGUACAAUUGCUAAUAGCUGGAGAUUUGAUGUGCUCAUUUAAAAGGAAUAUCUCUGAGGCUAAACUUAUUUUUAUCUUGGUUUCACCACGUUUACAGCAUUCUUCACUUUUUCUACUUUCCGUUUUUGUGUUUUCUAUCAUAACAUUCAAUCCUAUCAAAAUUUAUCAUUCAUAAAUCAUAAUGAAACAUG